GCGAUAUGACAACAAAAGAAACGCAGGGGUGAAAGUUCAAGCGGUGCGCCGAUUAAAUUCUUCCGACCUAAUACAGUUGAUUGAAAGUAUAGUUCCGGCGUGCUGAUAUCUCUCCAAUAACUAACAACAAGUGCUUGAUAUCAUCUGAAGUGUUCAUUUUUGAGCCAAAGGCAUGCCAUCUUUGUGUCAAUAUGCCUAACAGGGUCAUGACAUCAGCGUUUUACAGUUUGGACACUAGAUGGCGCACGAUGUCCAGUUUAAAAGUGAUGACCAUACUCUAGGACGAUUCACUACUAAACGUUAGCAUCCAGAAGAGUGGGUGAAGCUGCUGCGCCUACACCUGCUCGGGGGUGUUUAUGACUUCAUCCGUCUUCAGCCACCUCAACCUUUUCCAUUAUGGUGGAAUAUUAUUUGUACGGAAUCCAUUAAAUUCACAAGGCAGGACUCUAAUGGCGAGGCUGCAGUGCUUUGCAGAAGGAAAAGUUUUUUGAAAGACACUGAUGAGAAACCACUGCUGCCUCAGCUCGAUUACAGCGCUGUAAUGACACAUGGUCAGAACACUUGGCCCAAGAGCGCUUGCACCUAGAUAUUCUACUAAAGGUAUCACCUGUGUGUGUGUGAGUGAACAUGGACAGGUCCUGCUAACCCAUUCCAUGCAUUCAGCCAUGUCAAAAAGAAUGAAUUUGUUAUUGGUUGGCUCAAGCACAACGCAGAUCAUUGCAUCAAUGUGGGACACUGAGGCUUAGGGAACAUGUUGAGCAUCUCUGUACCUGUAGGAAACAUUAAACCUGAUAGCUAAUUAGGCCUUAUGUAUAUACAUUUACAUUUAUGCAUUUGGCUGACACUAUUAUUCAAAGGGACUUGCAGUGCCUUACAAACUAUAUAUUUUAUCAGUUUGUUUAUUUCCUUGGAUUGAACCCAAAGUGUUUUGCUCUGCUAACACAAGGUUUUAAGCUAUAAAAUAUGCAUGAUCAUAGAUCAUACAUUGAUAAAGAGUAUAUAUUCAAGCCACCAUUUUAAAUGGCAUGCAGUUUUGUAUGAUUUUGUCUUUUCUUCAUAUGCAUCACUAGUAGACUAUACACACAACAGUGUUUGUUCCUAGUUUUUAUAUAAAAUUUUCACACAAAGUUUUUCCAAUGUUUAAAGGUCAAGUUCUUUCUGAUCCAAUUUUUUAAACCCUAGUUAGUGUGUAAUGUUGCUAUAAUAGCAUAAAUAAUACCUGUAAAAUGAUAAAGCUCAAAGUUCAGUGCCAGGCAAUAUACACUCACCUAAAGGAUUAUUAGGAACACCUGUUAAAUUUCUCAUUAAUGCAAUGGUGUGGGGGGUGUUUUCUUGGCACACUUUAGGCCCCUUAGUGCCAAUUGGGCAUCGUUUAAAUGCCACUGCCUACCUGAGCAUUGUUUCUGUCCAUGUCCGUCUCUUUAUGACCACCAUGUACCCAUCCUCUGAUGGCUACUUCUAGCAGGAUAAUGCACCAUGUCACAAAGCUUGAAUCAUUUUUAAAUUGGUUUCUUGAACAUGACAAUGAAUUCACUGUACUAAAAUGGCCCCCACAGUCACCAGAUCUCAACCCAAUAGAGCAUUUUUGGGAUGUGGUGGAACGGGAGCUUCGUGUCCUGGAUGUGCAUCCCACAAAUCUCAGUCAACUGCAAGAUGCUAUCCUAUCAAUAUGGGCCAACAUUUCUAAAGAAUGCUUUCAGCACCUUGUUGAAUCAAUGCCACGUAGAAUUAAAGCAGUUCUGAAGGCGAAACACAGUAUUAGUAUGGUGUUCCUAAUAAUCCUUUAGGUGAGUGUAUUUUCUUUAACAGAAUUCGCAUUUCAAAGCCUACAGCGAACAGCCGGUUUGGACUACAGCCCUCUACUUCCUGCUUUAAUGACGUCAGUAAAACAGUUUUUGACUAAACUCCGCCCACAGGAAUACGGCAGUUGCCAGCUAAGCCAACGGCAAGCUAAGCUGCUACACACUAAACAAACUACACAAUCAGAACUCGAUAUGUAUUUCUGAAGGAGGGACUUCACAGAACAAGGAAGACAUCAGCCCGUUUGAGGACCGUGAAAAGCGGUAUACAGUUAAGUAAAUUGUGUGAAAAAUAAUGUGUUUUUUUACAUGUGAAACAUGAACACAUGUUAUAUUGCGCACAUCACACAAUCAAAGCUUCAAAACGCAGAAAGAACAGGACCUUUAAAAAAAAUUAAACAUUCAAUCAUUUAACAACAACGAGCUAAGAUGGGCAAUGGACAACCUUGUUUCUGCUGGUUUACUUACAUUCAGGCCCUUCUUCACACCCUUUAAAGUGACAUUGAAUUCUGCUCUUUUCUCUGCUGUCCCCAUUGAGCAUAUAAAAACUUGGCUAAUCACGCUGUAACUCAGACCCUCUAACUAUUCCUCAGCCAAUCAAUAGCUUUACCGUCCCAAUUAAGGUGGGCCGGGUCAGGGCCAGGCCACAGUCAGUCCUUUACAACUUAAAUGCCAUGUUUAAAUCCAUUGUGUGUAUUACAGUGGGACGAGCAACCUGACCUUCAAGCUUUUAAUGCCUCGUUUCAAUAGUGCCGGACAUUAAUGCACUGAAGGAGAGCUUGCAGUGGUCAUUUUGUCGGUUCAACAAAUCAACAGAGUUUAAACUGAAAGCUUAGUCUGACUGCUAAUCACUGUGUUUACAGAACUUUCUUAGAAUUGCCUUUUUGUGUUUGGUAGAUGCCUUAAUUUUUGGCAGGUAUAGUUUUUGCCAAUGCAUGCUUAUCAUAGUGGAUCAGAAUAAUACAUUUUAGCCUCUGUUUAUAUGCAAGUACUGUAUACAUGUGAUAUGUCUGUCUCUGCAAGGUGUUUUUUCUAAACAGAUGCUUUGCCCCAAUGUUUAAAAUACAUUUUGUAUAUAAAAACAUUUGUUCUUUUGCCUCAAAAAGUAAUAACAAAAUAGACGGAGAUUGUUAUAAUGUGCGUUUUGAACACAGUUUACAUUUCAAUCCAGUUAAUACUUUAUUUAGAAACUUGUUGGUGACAUUACAAAAGAAAUUGCCUCACGAUCCAAAGAUGUAGAGUCGACCAACAAACGUACAAUGCAAGAGUGCAAGGUUUAUAAUACUUGCUCGCCCAUUUUUCACCUUGUGGUACAUUUCGAUAUUAUACUUAAAUCUUUUAUCACAAUUUCGACCAGACGAGAGAAACUCACAAGAUAUCAAAACAAAAAUCUAUAUAUAAUACGUGGGCAAUUACAGCGCGAAGUUAGCGGCGUCGGGUCAUUGUCAGUGCGCGGCGCGCUUUUCUCAUCUCGCGGGGUCGUUAGACGAUGAUGGAUGUAAACCUAUAAAGUAUCUAAACUGGACCUUUUAACAAACCAUGAGCAAUACUAUCAUUUCUUUAAUAGAACCUGCUGACCGUGUCAUUCCGUUGUGCCAUUCGUCAUUUUCCCAGUGAAAUAAUCAAUAACUCUACGCUCUGAAAUAAAUAAUCUCAAAGUCGGGGAACAUUAUAUCUUCCCACCAGGCAGAAAGACACAAAGAGCCAAGAGGA